CCAGGUCUUACACACAUGGGUGCAGGGGCCCAGGCAUCUGGGCCAUCUUCCUCUGCUAUCCCAGGUGCAUUAGCAGGGAGCUGGAUCAGAAGUGGAGCCUGUGGAGGCUUUACCCACUAUGCCAUAGGACCAGCACCUGCUUUGGACUUUUAACAUGUUCUGUACAUACAGUAAAGGGUAUUUGAUUACUGUCAUUAUUGGGUAGAGCAGGGGCCCUACUGGUAAACAGGAGAAUGUUAAGCGGUUAUAGGGCACACAUUAUAUUCCAUUAGUACAGUGCAAAGGACAAAUAAUGCAGCAUAAACCUAAAGCUUCAGAUUUGAAGUUAUAUGCUAGAAGCAUGUGUUUCAGUGUAGGGUGAAGGAUAAGGUAAGCUGGGCUUUGUCAAGGUAUUGCUUCCCCAGGCAUCAGCAGGGUAGACCAGAGAGCAAUGCCAGACUCAGUUGGACGUCCCAUUUUUCAGGUGAGCAAAGUGAGCCUGUAGAGAGAAUGAGAGUCACAAUGUACAACUGUAGCUUUUCCCCCUCCGUAACUCCUCCCCUUAGAAAAUCAGGGGCACGUUUCUCCAGUUUUCUUUCUCAUAUCUACCAAAAUAAGUAAAUAAAUAAAAUAAAAAAGAGAAAAAGAAAGGAAAAGAAACCCAAAAGACAUUUACAUCCAGUUUUUGCAGGGUCCUCCUCCCACUUACGGUACAUCUUUAAUAAACUAAUGCCCACAUAGGCCAAAGGGAGCACCAGGUCAGUGAAGUCAACAUCAACAGCCUGUUUGACUCGGAAUUCGCUUUCCAUGGGCGAUUUUUGUUCUCAAAAACUAUCGAUAGUUCCCUUAGAAUUCCCAUUUCUGUUUACCUACUUAAAACAGAAUGAAGGCACAGAAAAUGCUUCAGCUAGGAAGAGAAGAAGUGGGAGGAGGACCAGGAAGAGGUAGAGGAGGAGAGAGAGGAGGAGGAGGAGAGGGGGAGGAGGAGGAGGAAGAGGAGGAGAGGGAGAAGAAAAGUGGGCUGUAUCUUUACAUACAAAGGGGAAAAAAGAAAACCCAGGUGAGUAGAAAAAAAUAUUUGGAGCCCCAGUCUGCCUGCCUGUCAGUGAGUCCUGAAUUUAUUGUAUAAUUCAUGCUACCCUACACUUGUCUAGGUAACUACCACACAUAACCUAAGCAAUCCAUAUACCAUUCACUUUACAUCCCAAUGCUCGAAGAUUUUAAAACCAUCAUUUAACAGGCAUCCAUAGUUUCACAAUUAUCUAUUAUGCUUUUCAAAAUCCCUUUAAAGCUUAUGUUAACAUGUUAUGUUAACAUCCUUCCUAUUUUUAAUAAUGACAUUCAUUAACUUGCCAUCAUUGUCUCCAAGAGGGCGAUUAUGGGGGAUAGCUACUGUUAAAUUUUACAAUGUCUGAAAUGAUGUGGUUUACUAAGAAUUUGGAGGGAAUUUGAAAGGCAAAACAAAGUAAAUAAUUUAAACCAAACCUAUCUCCUGUUCUCAUUUAGCUCGGUAAUCUAAAUAAAAGCCAUCGAAGUGA